rnacentral:tRNA from 1 species
CCUGGUGGCUCAGAGGGUAAAGCGCCUGCCUGCAAUGCAGGAGACCCAGGUUCUGUCCCUGGGUCAGGA